rnacentral:rRNA from 1 species
GACGUAGGGCGCGAGCGUUGUCCGGAUUUAUUGGGCGUAAAGAGCUCGUAGGCGGCUUGUCGCGUCGACUGUGAAAUCCCGCGGCUCAACCGCGGGUCUGCAGUCGAUACGGGCAGGCUAGAGUUCGGUAGGGGAGACUGGAAUUCCUGGUGUAGCGGUGAAAUGCGCAGAUAUCAGGAGGAACACCCGUAGCGAAGGCGGCACUCUGGGCCGAUACUGACACUGAGGAGCGAAAGCGUGGGGAGCGAACAGG